GACGAACGCUGGCGGCGUGCCUAACACAUGCAAGUCGAGCGAUGAAACCCUUCGGGGUGGAUUAGCGGCGGACGGGUGAGUAACACGUGGGUAACCUGCCUCAAAGAGGGGGAUAGCCUCCCGAAAGGGAGAUUAAUACCGCAUAACAUUGGUUUUUCGCAUGAAGAACCAAUUAAAGGAGCAAUCCGCUUUGAGAUGGACCCGCGGCGCAUUAGCUAGUUGGUGAGGUAACGGCUCACCAAGGCGACGAUGCGUAGCCGACCUGAGAGGGUGAUCGGCCACAUUGGAACUGAGACACGGUCCAGACUCCUACGGGAGGCAGCAGUGGGGAAUAUUGCACAAUGGGCGAAAGCCUGAUGCAGCAACGCCGCGUGAGUGAUGAAGGCCCUCGGGUUGUAAAGCUCUGUCUUUGGGGACGAUAAUGACGGUACCCAAGGAGGAAGCCACGGCUAACUACGUGCCAGCCGCCGCUGUAAUAC
rnacentral:rRNA from 1 species